UACGUAGGGGGGCGAGCGUUUGUCCGGAAUCAUUGGGCGUAAAGCGCGUGUAGGCGGCCCGGUAAGUCCGCUGUGAAAGUCCAGGGCUCAACCCUGGGAUGCCGGUGGAUACUGUCGGGCUCGAGUCCGGAAGAGGCGAGUGGAAUUCCUGGUGUAGCGGUGAAAUGCGCAGAUAUCAGGAGGAACACCGAUGGCGAAGGCAGCUCG
rnacentral:rRNA from 1 species